UCCGAGAUGGUGCAACUGGCAGCACGUCCGCCUCUGGAGCGGAAGGUUGGAGGUUCGAGUCCUCCUCUCGGAG
rnacentral:tRNA from 2 species